rnacentral:rRNA from 1 species
CUUUCCCUCUUUCUUCCUGCCUUACACAUGCAAGUCGAACGGUAACGGGCCUUCGGGUGCCGACGAGUGGCGAACGGGUGAGUAAUACAUCGGAACGUGCCCGAUCGUGGGGGAUAACGAGGCGAAAGCUUUGCUAAUACCGCAUACGAUCUACGGAUGAAAGCAGGGGACCGCAAGGCCUUGCGCGGACGGAGCGGCCGAUGGCAGAUUAGGUAGUUGGUGGGAUAAAAGCUUACCAAGCCGACGAUCUGUAGCUGGUCUGAGAGGAUGAUCAGCCACACUGGGACUGAGACACGGCCCAGACUCCUACGGGAGGCAGCAGUGGGGAAUUUUGGACAAUGGGCGCAAGCCUGAUCCAGCCAUGCCGCGUGCAGGAUGAAGGCCUUCGGGUUGUAAACUGCUUUUGUACGGAACGAAAAGCCUUCUUUUAAUACAGGAGGGUCAUGACGGUACCGUAAGAAUAAGCACCGGCUAACUACGUG